AACGAACGCUGGCGGCAUGCCUAACACAUGCAAGUCGAACGAGACCUUCGGGUCUAGUGGCGCACGGGUGCGUAACGCGUAGAUAAUGUGCCCUCUUGCGGGGGAUACCGUUUCGAAAGGAACGUUAAUACCGCAUAAAGUCCUUAGGAGGCAUCUCUUAGGGACCAAACUUCCGGGGCGGGAGGAGCAAUCUGCGUACUAUCAGCUAGUUGGUGAGGUAAUGGCUCACCAAGGCUACGACGGUUAACUGGUCUGAGAGGAUGAUCAGUCACACUGGAACUGAGACACGGUCUAGACUCCUACGGGAGGCAGCAGUGAGGAAUAUUGCACAAUGGGCGAAAGCCUGAUGCAGCGACGCCGCGUGGAGGAUGAAGGAUUUCGGUCUGUAAACUCCUGUCAGUAGGGAAGAGAAUGGACGGUACCGUACUGAGGAAGCUUCGGCUAACUACGUGCCAGCAGCCGCGGUAAU
rnacentral:rRNA from 1 species